GAUCAAGGGAAUUAGAGAGAGGAGCUUCAUGCUUCGGGUCAGGGAAGGAAAGACAUAGAAUUUGGAUUUUUCUUCUUCGUAGAGUUUUGGGAAGACUGAGGCAAUCGCUGCUGAAGUCAGUGUUGUAAUGGUGAAUCGGGAUUUUUAAAUGAAGUGGGUUUGAAUACUCUUGACUGUUUUGUAAAAUCGAGUUACGUCUGUGAUUGAAGGAUUAAAAGGGUGUCUAUAGGAUUGAGUAUGCGGAGUGAAUGAAAUUUAUUGGAUUAAUCUAACAGGACAGUCAGUGGAUACAAGAUCGUAAGUACAAAG
rnacentral:lncRNA from 1 species